CUCUUGACGUUAGCGGCGGACGGGUAAGUAACACGUGGGUAACCUACCUAUAAGACUGGGAUAACUUCGGGAAACCGGAGCUAAUACCGGAUAAUAUUUCGAACCGCAUGGUUCGAUAGUGAAAGGUGGUUUUGCUAUCACUUAUAGAUGGACCCGCGCCGUAUUAGCUAGUUGGUAAGGUAACGGCUUACCAAGGCGACGAUACGUAGCCGACCUGAGAGGGUGAUCGGCCACACUGGAACUGAGACACGGUCCAGACUCCUACGGGAGGCAGCAGCA
rnacentral:rRNA from 1 species